CAAAACGGUGAAAACGCGUUCUCUUUCCCAUUUUCGAAAAUGAAUUUUCGAAAACGAAAAAAAAUUUGUGAAGAAAACACAAAACGACUUUUUUGUCGUUUUGGACGUUUUCAGUGUAAAACUUGAAAAAAUUGAAAACGCGGGAAACACUUUUUUUUUUUUUUUUUUUUUGAGGAGGUGGUGUGGUGAUUCUCAAAAUUUCAAAAAA
rnacentral:lncRNA from 1 species